GUGCCCGUAGCUCAGUUGGAUAGAGUGUCAGCCUCCGAAGCUGAAGGUCGCAGGUUCAACUCCUGCCGGGCACGCCA
rnacentral:tRNA from 1 species